AGGUGCCACUAACGAGUUCUGACAUUACAAGACAACACAGACAGACAAGGUCAAAUAAUUAUCGAAAAAAAAUUCCUUAACCAACCAAAUAAACCGACUUUCGGCAUUUCACAACAAAUUCAAUUCAACCCACCAACCUAAAAUCACACCUAAGAAAAACCCAGUUCCUGUUUUUUUCAUUUUCAGAGAAAUAAUCAGAAAAAGGGGACAUUUUUGAAUUUGAAAAUGGUGUUCAACAGUUUGCUGGUUGUAUCGGUUGCACACGUGUCAGCCGAUGCCUGGCAAUGCCUUGCUUGCUUCCCUGAAAGACUCAGUAGCCGUCAGCUAUUGGAUCUCGUCUUCUGUUUUCCUUUGCAGCAAUUGGGUCGUUUUGCUCUUUGUCUAUGGACUUUUCUUUGUCUUCCUCCACCGGAUUCAUUUUACUCUUAUUCUUACUCUUCUGAUGGUGAUUCUGAUGAUUCUUCCACCACCGUUGAUUAUGAUGACUUUUAUUACCAUUCUCAUUCUGAUUGACAAGCUUUUGUACAGAGUUGCAUCAAAGGAAGUAUUUACAACACUUGGUCACUUGUUCAAAGUAAGACACAUACAAAGCAACAAUAAAUUCUCACUUUCUUGAUUUGGAAAGCAAACAAGUUUAUUAAGUUGUUGAUUGGUGAGUCACUCAAGUCAUGUUCAUGAGUACUUAGGCUCUUCUUUAGUUACUUAUAUUAUAUAUACACACAUUUAUAAAUAUAUAUAUCAUCUCAUUGUUUCUGUUCUGCUGAUUGAUUGUGUACAGAAGAUCUUACUGUUAGUAUUAUGAUUGUGACCUCACUCACAUGGUGUUUUGUCUAUAUGCUCAACAACAAUGAUGAUCAUUUAUUUUCUAUAGUUUGUAGCAUUAAGAAUCCAAGUUAUUUUUAUUAAUGGGUAAAAGUACUUAAAUUAUUAUGUUCGUA